AGUGGUUCUUUAGACAUGGAAUGGGACAGAUGAAAGCUGUGACCCAUGUUCCCAUGGCCACUUCCCAGUGGCCUUCUCUCCUUCUAGAGUCUGAAAUAGAGCUGGCAGCUCGGCUUCCCAUGAAGUGAGUGAGAGGCAAGGGAUGGAAUGCCGUUGGUAAGAUACACCGAGUCCUCGCUAAAUCCUUAGCAACUCAUAUAGGGUGUGCUGGUACCUGCGUAUCAUCCCAACCCUGGGGCUGAAGAGGUAGGAGAAGCAAAAGGUUAUCCUUAGCUACACAGUAAGUUUGAAGUCAGCCUGGGCUAUGUGAGAUCCUAUCUCAGGGCAGACAUGGAGGUGAGUACUAACAGAGGAAAGGGAAGAACAGAGGAGCAGGAAUGGAGGAGGAGGGGGAAGGAGGAGGGAAAGGAAGGAGGAAGAGGAGGGGAAGAGGAAGAAGAGGAGGAAGAAAGAAGGGUAAGAACUAAAGACAAGCGAGCAUUGCUAGAGGCCUGCUCAGCUUCCCAGCCUCGUUCCAAUUGCUCUGUAACUCCUGGCAAGCCCCCAAGGGAGAAAUGCCAAGGAAGAGUCAGAGGCUACUUAGGAUCUACUAGGUCAACACUGCUGGCCUUAGGAUGGUGUAGAGCUGGGCCAGCACUGAUCUUCUCUCUAUCUACCUACACCUUCCACAUUUUCUUCUUUAUGGAUUUCCCAACAAUGCUUUUGGAGUUUUGUAAUAUGUAAUACUAUCUUAUUAAAUAUACCUGUUUCAAAAUUCAUUCCUUCAUAAUUUCAUACAUAUACCGGUCAUGAGCAUGCAAUGCCAGAAACAGAGACAAAUACAAAAAUGUCAAGAUGUACUGAAUAGAGAUAAAUUUACAAGGUUCAGCAGUUUCAAUGACAGCAAUUUGCCAUGUAAUCUGCAUAUCUUGGUAGCCUGGCUGAAGCAAAUGUUGAAUCUUUUAUAAGAAUCUAAAUUACUAGCAUUUUGUUUUGUCUUGUAUAUAAGACAGAGUCUGUCCAUGCAGCCCUAGGUGUCCUGGAACUUACUCUGUAGACCAGACUGGCCUCCACUGAUUACUAAUCUUAACUCUCACACCUCGCAGCACACAGCAAAUCUGUCUAUUUAUCUCCUUGCAUAUGCGUUGCUUACAGAAUGAAUGCAAGUGAAAAGGGUUGUAUAGAGUUGAAAAGGUUUCAGGGGUGGGCGGAGUCUAAAUUGAUAAGAUAAUAAAGCAGACAGCUCCAGGAGGGAGGUGCUUUGGAAACUGCUGGAGUCCGGGUUGGAUAGAGAAGCUGUGAGCAAAAGGCCCAACCAAGACGAAGAGCCACCCGGAAAUGGGCCCUGAGCAGGAAACAGAGCGGCAUACCUGACUGGCAAACAAGAGGAUGGACAAGCGGUCAAGUAGGCCACAUCAACAGCAGAGGAUCAGACCAACCCAAGGACAGUCAGGGAGUCUGUGCUUGUCAGCCAAGUGUCUGACAGAGCUGUGCUAUGCCAUCCUUGUGUUAGGUGUCUGUCGCUAGGGGGAUAUCCAGGGAACGGAGUUACUUGCUUUCCUUGGUCUGGCAUGUCUGAUAAGUUUUGGGGCCUGGUUUGAUUUAAUUUGCUCCUACAGUUUCAACUCACCAAUGGCUCCCUUUCUGUUACCAGGAUUAAUCAUUUAUCAGUCUGUACCAGGAGGGUAUGAUGGUGUCAGACCUAUGGUGCCAUUUCUGCCCCACCCCCAUCUCUCGGCUGAGGUUUAUUUUUCUCUCUCAAAAUAAAGUCAAUAUCUGGCUGUGAAACAGUCUCCUAUGCUAAGGCUCAGCCUGGAAAACCACUUAAAGUGGGGCCUAGCCACACCACAACAUAAUGUGUUGUUUUGUUUUGUUUUGUUGGGUUUUUUGUUUGUUUUUUGUUUUGUUUUGCUUUGUUUUUGUUUUUUGUUGUUGUUUUUGGUUUUUCGAGAUAGGGUUUCUCUGUAUAACCCUGGCUGUCCUGGAACUCACUCUGUAGACCAGGCUGGCCUCAAACUCAGAAAUCUGCCUGCCUCUACCUCCCAAGUGCCCAGCUACAACAUAAUGCAUUAAUAAUAUUCUCCCCCAUUAUUCUCCCUCAUGCCUAGUGUUACUUUUGAUUUUCUAAAAAACCUUCCACUACAGCGAUAUUUACCUUUAGUGUGAGAAUUUAUGUCCCGCGUGCCUGAGUGUGGGGGUCAGAUAUCAGUCUUGAGCAUCUUUCCUGCAGUGAUGCCCACUUGGUUUUAUUGGAGGCAGGGUUUUUACUGAGAUCGGAGGCUCCAGAAUAAGUGGUGUUGACACAGGGCUACUGUGUAAAAUAAUGGGUUUCAUUUCAACAUUUCCAUGCACACACAGUCGACUUUCUCACAGUCUCCUCCUCACAUCUCCAAUUGUCCCCUGAUUUCUUUUUUUCUCUAAUAUUCCCCCUCCUAUUUUUAUGUUUCUCCCCCCCCCACCAUAGUCUGUAUAUGAGAGAAAACAUGUGAUCCUUAUCAUUUUGGAUUUAGCUUAUUUUACUUAACUCGAAGAUCCCUGGCCCCAUCAAUUUUUCUGUAAAAGCCUGACUUUGCUCUUUGUAACGACUGGGUGAUACUUCACUGUACUUACACACCAUGCUUCCUUCAUCUGCCGACUGUGGAUGGGCACAUAGGUGGAUUCCCUUCUGUGGCUGCCGUGAGCCGUGCCUCAGUGAGCAAGCAUUUGCAAGCAUCUCUAGUACGGGCUGACUUGGGUUCCUCUGGGCGUGUCAUCCCAGUGGAAAGCCUAACUGAGUUCUGAGUGAGCAUUCUGAGGCUGAAUCUCUCUUGUGCCUAGAAGCUCUGAGGUGGGGCAUACUCUGGAAUGUCUGUUUCUCUGAGUGCUCAUGUACACGAUCUAAUCAAAGCCACCAGGCGGCACGCUCAUGACCAUCUCUUGCUCUGCCCCAGAACAAAACCAAAGAAUCCUCCUCGUCCUACCAGCCCCAACCAGGAGGGUCACACAACACUCGGGUGUAAACUGCAACUUGAACCUCACAAGCUUCUACCUGGAGCAAUGUAAGAGGGUUCAGGAAAAACACGUUGUGAGUAUGAACUGAUCUGUCUAUGUGGGAAGGAGAUGCAGACCUGAGCCCCGUAGAGGAUUAUCAAGACACAUUCAGAUGAAAAUGGUCAGGUAGGUAAAAGCUAGUGACCGAGCUGAAGAAAAUCUGGCCUAUGCCACCUUCAAAGUAUUGGACAGAGGUGUGUCACUACUGCAAAUGUGAGUGACUCGGAAACAGGUCACACGGCUAGUAUUUUAUAUAUACACAUAUAUAUGUGGUAUAUUUAUUUAUACAUAUAUGUACAUUAUGUGUAUAUGUGUAUAUAUGCAUGUGUGUGUAUAUGUAUAUAUAGCCAUACUUAUACAUAUACAUCUUGUCAUCACUUGUUUUUUUGUUUUUGUUUUUGUUUUUGUGGGUACAGCGAACUUUUAUUGAUGGCAUUCAAGAGAAUAGGGAGGGCUCCCUAGGCCCCUCCUGCUAUUAUGGGGGUCUGGGAUGGAAAUUGUGAGGGAGAUGCUCAGUGUUGGGGGCCGAGUUGGGAUAGGGACUCCUCAGCAACCGAGGGCCUCUCUCUUGCUCUCAGUGUCCUUGCUGGUGGGGUGGGUGGUCCAGGGUUUCUUACUCCUUGGAGGCCAUGUAGGCCAUGAGUUCUACCACCCUGUUGCUGUAGCCAUAUUCGAAGUCACAAGAGACAACCUGUGUCCUCAGUGUAGCCCAGGAUGCACUUCAGUGGGCCCUCAGAUGCCUGCUUCAGCACCUUCUUGAUGUCAUCAUACUUGGCAGGUUUCUCCAGGCGGCACGUCAGAUCCACAACGGACACAUUGUGGGUAGGAACAUGGAAGUCCAUGCCAUUGAGCUUCCCAUUCAGCUCUGGGAUGACCUUGCCCACAGCCUUGGCAGCACCAGUAGAUGCAGGGAUGAUGUUCUGGGCAGCCCCACGACCAUCACGCCACAGCUUUCCAGAGGGGCCAUCCACAGUCUUCUGGGUGGCAGUGAUGGCAUGGACCAUGGCCAUGAGCCCUUCCACAAUGCCAAAGUUGUCAUGGAUGACCUUGGCCAGGGGGGCUAAGCAGUUGGUGGUGCAGGAUGCAUUGCUGACAAUCUUGAGUGAGUUGUCAUAUUUCUCAUGGUUCACACCCAUCACAAACAUGGGGGCAUCGGCAGAAGGGGCGGAGAUGAUGACCCUUUUGGCUCCACCCUUCAAGUGGGCCCCGGCCUUCUCCAUGGUGGUAAAGACACCAGUAGACUCCACAACAUUCUCAGCACUGGCAUCACCCCAUUUGAUGUUAGCGGGGUCUCGCUCCUGGAAGAUAGUGAUGGGCUUCCCAUUGAUGACAAGCUUCCCAUGACUGUGCCAUUGAAUUUGCCAUGGUUGGAGUCAUAAUGCAACAUGUAGACCAUGUAGUUGAGGUCAAUGAAGGGGUUGUUGGUGGCAACAAUCUCCACUUUGCCAUGUGGAGAGCAGACGGCAGCCCUGGUAACCAGGCGCCCAAUACAGCCAAAUCUGUUCACACCGACCUUCACCAUUUUGUCUACGGGAUGAGGCUGGCACUGCACAAGAAGUGCGGCUGUCUCUGGAACAGGGAGGAGCAGAGAGCUUGUCAUCACUUGUUAAAGGAGAGCAGAGUGCUGGCACUUACUUAUGCUAGCUUCUCGGUCUAUGCGUGUG
ensembl:lincRNA